UACGUAGGGGUCGAGCGUUGUCCGGAGUUACUGGGCGUAAAGCGCGCGCAGGCGGCGCGAUAAAGACCGGCGUGAAAAGCCCCCGGCUGCAACCGGGGAAGGGUCGUUUGGUGACUUGUACGCGCUUGAAGGCAGCAGGGGGUGAGUGGGAAUUCCCGGUGAAGUGGGUAGCAAAUGCGUAGAGAAUCGGGGAGGAACACCCGUGGCGAAGGCGG
rnacentral:rRNA from 1 species